UAGGGAAUCUUCGGCAAUGGACGAAAGUCUGACCGAGCAACGCCGCGUGAGUGAAGAAGGUUUUCGGAUCGUAAAACUCUGUUGUUAGAGAAGAACAAGGACGUUAGUAACUGAACGUCCCCUGACGGUAUCUAACCAGAAAGCCACGGCUAACUACGUGCCAGCAGCCGCGGUAAUACGUAGGUGGCAAGCGUUGUCCGGAUUUGUUGGGCGUAAAGCGAGCGCAGGCGGUUUCUUAAGUCUGAUGUGAAAGCCCCCGGCUCAACCGGGGAGGGUCAUUGGAAACUGGGAGACUUGAUUGCAGAAGAGGAGAGUGGAAUUCCAUGUGUAGCGGUGAAAUGCGUAGAUAUAUGGAGGAACACCAGUGGCGAAGGCGGAUCUAUGGUCUGUAAAUGACGCUGAGGCUCGAAAGCGUGGGGAGCAAACAGG
rnacentral:rRNA from 1 species